rnacentral:rRNA from 1 species
UACGGAGGGUGCAAGCGUUAAUCGGAAUUACUGGGCGUAAAGCGUGCGCAGGCGGUUUGUUAAGUCUGUUGUGAAAUCCCCGAGCUCAACUUGGGAAUUGCAAUGGAUACUGGCAGGCUGGAGUAUGGUAGAGGAAGGUGGAAUUCCCGGUGUAGCAGUGAAAUGCGUAGAGAUCGGGAGGAACACCAGUGGCGAAGGCGGCCUUCUGGACCAAUACUGACGCUCAUGCACAAAAGCGUGGGGAGCAAACAGG